GUAAGAUAUCAAGGGCAGUUGGUGGAUGCCUAGGUGUCAGGAGGCGAGGAAGGACGUGGAAGGCUGCGAUAAGCCUCGGUGAGCCGUCAAACAGGCUUUGACCCGGGGAUUUCCGAAUGGGGGAACCCGUAUGGAGUAACGUCCAUACACUUCAGACUGAAUCCAUAGGUCUGUAAGAGCCAACCCGGGGAAGUGAAACAUCUCAGUACCCGGAGGAAAGGAAAUCAAGAGAGAUUCCCUAAGUAGCGGCGAGCGAACAGGGAGUAGCCCAAACCAUGUGGUUUCGAGCACAUGGGGUUGUAGGGCUCCGAUACGUGAUCCAGUGAUUAGAUAGCCGAACAGUCUGGAAAGGCUGACCAUAGGUGGUGACAGUCCAGUAGGCGAAAUCGAAAACGGCACACGGAGUACCUGAGUAGGACGGGACACGAGAAAUCCCGUUUGAAUCUGGGAGGACCAUCUUCCAAGGCUAAAUACUACCUGACGACCGAUAGCGAACCAGUACCGUGAGGGAAAGGUGAAAAGAACCCCUGAUAGUAGUGCGGAUUAGACCCGAAGCCGGGUGAUCUAUCCAUGAGCAGGCUGAAGCUUGAGUAAAAUCAAGUGGAGGGCCGAACCAUUGUAAGUUGAAAAUUACUUGGAUGACUUGUGGAUAGGGGUGAAAGGCCAAUCAAACCCGGUGAUAGCUGGUUCUCCCCGAAAUAUAUUGAGGUAUAGCCUCAGGCGUUUAUUAACGGAGGUAGAGCACUGACAGGGCUAGGGGUCCUACCAGAUUACCAACCCCUAUCAAACUCCGAAUACCGUUAAUUGAGAGCCUGGGAGUCAGACUACGGGUGAUAAGGUCCGUGGUCGAAAGGGAAACAGCCCAGACCAUCGGCUAAGGUCCCUAAAUCAUACUAAGUGGGAAAGGAAGUGGAACCGUUAAGACAGCCAGGAGGUUGGCUUAGAAGCAGCCAUCCUUGAAAGAAAGCGUAAUAGCUCACUGGUCUAGUAGUUCUGCGCCGAAAAUGUAACGGGGCUAAGUAUGAUACCGAAGCCAUGGCUCGACACCUUGUGUGUCGGGGGUAGGGGAGCGUCCUCUUUCAGGAUGAAGAUAAAUCGUAAGGUUUGUUGGACAAAAGAGGAGUGAUAAUGCUGGCAUGAGUAACGAUAAAACGGGUGAGAAACCCGUUCGCCGUAAACCCAAGGUUUCCAGGGUAAAGUUAAUCUUCCCUGGGUUAGUCGGCCCCUAAGGCAAGGCUGAAAAGCGUAGCUGAUGGGAAACAGGUUAAUAUUCCUGUACUUGGUAUGCAUCGUUUGAGCGAAGGAGGGACGCAGGAGGGUAGGUCAUCCAUCUGUUGGAAGAGAUGGUUCAAGGUUGUAGGGAUGAUUCACAGGCAAAUCCAUGAAUCUCUAUCCUGAGAACCGAUGACGAGGCGCAAGCCGGAAGUGAUUGAGCCCAUGCUGCCGAGAAAAGCUUCUAAGCGAGAUGUAUAUUCAACCGUACCGCAAACCAACACAGGUGGGUGGGAUGAGUAAUCCAAGGCGCUUGAGAGAACUCUGGUUAAGGAAUUCGGCAAAAUGACCCCGUAACUUCGGGAUAAGGGGUGCCACUUUUGGUGAACUUAUUCACUUUGUGAGCUGAGAGUGGUCGCAGAGAAAUGGCGGUGGCGACUGUUUACUAAAAACAUAGGGCUAUGCGAAGUCGUAAGACGCAGUAUAUGGCCUGACGCCUGCCCGGUGCCGGAAGGUUAAGAGGAGGUGUUAUCCCUUUGGGAGAAGCUCUGAAUUGAAGCCCCGGUAAACGGCGGCCGUAACUAUAACGGUCCUAAGGUAGCGAAAUUCCUUGUCGGGUAAGUUCCGACCUGCACGAA
rnacentral:rRNA from 1 species